CCUACGGGAGGCAGCAGUAAGGAAUAUUGGUCAAUGGGCGCAAGCCUGAACCAGCCAUGCCGCGUGCAGGAUGACGGCCCUCUGGGUUGUAAACUGCUUUUAUACGGGAAGAACAGCAUCUACGUGUAGGUGUUUGACGGUACUGUAAGAAUAAGGACCGGCUAACUUCGUGCCAGCAGCCGCGGUAAUACGAAGGGUCCAAGCGUUAUCCGGAUUUAUUGGGUUUAAAGGGUGCGUAGGCGGCUUUUUAAGUCAGUGGUGAAAGCCUGAUGCUCAACAUCAGAACUGCCAUUGAUACUGAAGAGCUUGAGUACAGUUGAGGUUGGCGGAAUGUGUCAUGUAGCGGUGAAAUGCUUAGAUAUGACACAGAACACCGAUUGCGAAGGCAGCUAGCUAAGCUGUUACUGACGCUGAUGCACGAAAGCGUGGGGAGCAAACAGGAUUAGAUACCCUGGUAGUCCACGCCCUAAACGUUGAUAACUCGUUGUUAGCGAUAUACUGUUAGCGACCAAGCGAAAGCAUUAAGUUAUCCACCUGGGAAGUACGGUCGCAAGAUUGAAAACUUCAAAAGUAGUAAGUUACGGACCGGUGUAGGAACGUUACGGUUCCGACCCGGAAGGGACCCGACCACGGGAGGGGGUAGGAGGGG
rnacentral:rRNA from 1 species